rnacentral:rRNA from 3 species
UUCCAUUAUUUAAAACGACUCUCGGCAACGGAUAUCUCGGCUCUCGCAUCGAUGAAGAACGUAGCGAAAUGCGAUACUUGGUGUGAAUUGCAGAAUCCCGUGAACCAUCGAGUCUUUGAACGCAAGUUGCGCCCCAAGCCGUUAGGCCGAGGGCACGCCUGCCUGGGUGUCACGCA